UACAGAGGGUGCGAGCGUUAAUCGGAAUUACUGGGCGUAAAGCGCACGUAGGUGGCGACGUAAGUCGGGUGUGAAAUCCCUGGGCUCAACCUGGGAACGGCAUUCGAGACUGUGUUGCUGGAGUACGGAAGAGGAGGCGGAAUUCCCGGUGUAGCGGUGAAAUGCGUAGAGAUGUGGAGGAACACCGAUGGCGAAGGCAGCCUCCUGGGCCAGC
rnacentral:rRNA from 1 species